rnacentral:SRP_RNA from 1 species
CAAGCGGAUAGGUUGGGCGGUUAGGCCCCGCUUCAUGCUCGCAAUAUGGUCUUAAGCGAGAAUCGAAACCAAGGUGCGUCUGUUCCAAAUUGGUUCAGGUCCCUGGACCCAACUGAGAAGCCUUGUCCAUUGGGGGCAGAGGUCUCUAGUAAAUGCAUGAAGGUGCGUUUAUAUGGAGUUAAUCGACAACAACUCGUCAGGCACGGAAGUGAACAGCGAAUUGUCGGACAUCUGUCGCUCAAUGGGGUGCGGGGUGGAGAAGGCGAUAGGAUAAACCCGUUCUGAGAAGUCGGGCAAACCUUACUUCCGCUUC